GUUUAAUUUAAAAAGUGAAUAUUUUGAAAAUUAAUUUUGUCUAUAUAUAUAUAUUAGAUGUUCAAGAGAUCAGAGCCGAAGAGCUUAUACCAACGGAAGUAAUGGACAAGCUAAGUCAGGAAUUUUGUUGUUGUUUUUUGUUUUUUUUGUGUGCAAAUACAUUUAUGCUUUUUUAGUUUUUUUUAAAGUUAUUUAGCAACUGACUGUUUUCAGUUGUGACAGUUUGUCAGUCAGCAAGUGACUUUUGUAACUUUUAAAUUUAUUUUAUUUAGAAAAAUUAGAAGAUUCUGUUGGGAAUCUAAAAAAAUUAGAACAUUCAAUGGGUAAACAGAAUUUGAUUAUAUUACAUUUGUGUAUUAUAGAUAAAGAUAGAGCGUUUUACUUUCACAAAAAAAGAAAAUUUAGAAAAUUCAAUUGGUAAGCAAAGUACAC